AGCUCGAGGUGUUCCUGCCCCGCCCCCUCCCUUCUCUUUCCCCUCCUCUCCCCCACCCCCUCCUUCGUUUACCACCCUCCCCCACAUUCCCUUUCCCCUCACUUACUCCUCUGCCCUUGCCUGACGAUCCCGUGGAGGAUCCUGCGUAUGCAUGCGUGGGCCUGUGUAUGCAUACGUGGGCCUGUGUGAGGGAGGGAAAAAAGCCAUCCCACCUGAUGGAUGCAUUGGGAAAACUUGUGCCAUGUGUAACACCUGUCACCUCGAGAAAGGGGGCUAUCGAGAUCUCUCACAAGAAGGCAGAGUCAGAAUUGUAACACAUGAAGUUAUUGUCUCUAUCACUUUCACAGUAAGAGAGAAAUUCUGAAUUUAGAAUUCCAGAAGAACAGCAAAACAGGCCCUAAAAGUUGUGAAUGACAGGAAUUUUCUUCAACUAUCAACUAACUCUAAAGCAGCAAACUUGGCCUUACCUUGCCAAAUUUGUUCUACUCCUUCUAUCUACUAGUGCCUGACCCUUACUUACAUGACUGAGCCAUCACAUCUGUCAUAAUGAGAGUGAUUGCGAGAGAGGAGAGAAAGAAGAGAAGGAGAUGUCCAUCCUAAGUAAUUUCUGAGGUUAAAACUUCAAGGACUGUCUCAGCACAAAUUUUCCCUUCAGAGGAGAUUUACCUCAGCCAAGAGGACAUAAUACAGAUGAGGAUACAUCUUUCCAUUGGAUUCAUCUCAGGACCCAUUUGACCUCCAUAGUAUUCUAUGGCACACAAGAUGAGUAUUGGGGAAACUGACUGAGGAAGGCCUCAGCCUCCCCAAGAGGCUCACCUUGACCAGAAGAACAAAUUCCUUGGCUAUUUCUAUUUGAAGUUGGAGAACCAAUUGAGCUGUUCCCUAAUCUUUUCCAUGGAUGUUGCCAUUUCUCCACUAAUAUUCACCCCAAAGCAAUGUGCAGUGUUGGUUGUGGGACAGUUGCCUUCUUCACUAGCUAGCAGAUAACCUAGGGCAAUGUUGUGGUCUAAAACCAUCAGUGCCAGGGAGUGAAGAUUUCUUUCCUGGGCACCUGUGGCUUUAUUGGUUUCACUGGCUAUGAAGGCUGUGAUAGCUCAUAAUUCAUUCCACCUCACAUGGCCUUAUCUACAGUAGGAAGAACCUAACAAUUCAUUGGAAUCCAGUUUCUCAAAUGUCCUGUUUGAAAGUUUUCCCUACACACACUGUGUAAGUCAAUGAAUCUGCUCUUCAGCAGGUUCUUGUGUAUAGUAAAUAGUGUGACCAUCAUACCAGGGGAAGAAUCCUUGUUUGGGACCAGUGUGAGGCAAUCUGUGGUAACCCAGAGACACAGGAUUGCAUGAGGUCUUUGCCAGGACAGAAAAUUUGCAUUUAAACUAUUGUCAAAUCUCCAAAGGCCUUGUGAUGGAAAACACUGUCCACAUCCAAAGAAAGAACUAUGGAGUUUGAAUGCAGA